AACAGAAUGAACAUGGCUGCCGAUGAUUAGGCCACCAAGGACCUCUGUCUGGAUGGUUCCAUCACCCACUAUGAUUCAGCUACAUGCCAGCCGGCAUGCUCAACUCAACCCAGCCAUCUGCCUGCCUACUGUAUCCAUCAGUACCACUGAUCCACUUACC